rnacentral:rRNA from 1 species
CGAAGCAACGCGAAGAACCUUACCUACGACUUGACAUCUCCUGAAUUACCCGUAACUGGGGAAGCUCUUCGGAGCAGGAAGACAGGUGGUGCAUGGUUGUCGUCAGCUCGUGUCGUGAGAUGUUGGGUUAAGUCCCGCAACGAGCGCAACCCUUAUCGUUAGUUGCUACCAUUAAGUUGAGCACUCUAGCGAGACUGCCCGGGUUAACCGGGAGGAAGGUGGGGAUGACGUCAAAUCAUCAUGCCCCUUAUGUCUAGGGCUACACACGUGCUACAAUGGUGAGGACAAAGAGACGCAAGACCGCGAGGUGGAGCAAAUCUCACAAACCUCAUCCCAGUUCGGAUUGCAGGCUGAAACUCGCCUGCAUGAAGCCGGAGUUGCUAGUAAUCGCGAAUCAGCAUGUCGCGGUGAAUACGUUCCCGGGCCUU